GUUGUAUGGUUAAGUGACUAAGCGUACACGGUGGAUGCCUUGGCCUUGGCAGUCAGAGGCGAUGAAAGGC
rnacentral:rRNA from 1 species